CACACCGCCCGACACACCAUGGGAGUUUGUUGCACCAGAAGCAGGUAGCCUAACCGCAAGGGGGGCGCUUGCCACGGUGUGGCCGAUGACUGGGGUG
rnacentral:rRNA from 1 species